rnacentral:lncRNA from 1 species
CCGGGGCAGCCGCCGCGGGAGCCGCGCCGGGCGGGUGCUGGGCGGCCGCGCUGGUCCUGCCGGCGCUCCUCCGCUGCCUGCGGCGUCCAGAGAAAAUGUUUUGCUGGGGGAUAAAUCUCGUUUUAGCCUUCGCGGCACUGGUGUUGGUUUCCUGUGGAACAGCCUCAGUCCGAUCGAGGUCUGGUGGAGGUGGCAGCUGCCCUAUUCCUCCUGCUCCCCUCAGUGCUUUUGGCCUGAUUUUUCUCUGUAAGAAAAGCAAAAUGAAUUUUCAUGAGAGAAGAUGAGACUUUUGUGGCACUACAUCUUUUCUUUAUGAUGAUGCUCCUCUGUGGACCCCGGGAAAACCAUGUGUCUGGACAUUGAACAAUGCUCUAAUAGGAAAUACACCGAAUAGUGCUUUGUGCAAGGAAAUGGCUACAA